AUGAACGCUGGCGGCGUGCCUAAUACAUGCAAGUCGAGCGAACAGACGAGAGUGCUUGCACUCUCUGACGUUAGCGGCGGACGGGUGAGUAACACGUGGGUAACCUACCUAUAAGACUGGGAUAACUUCGGGAAACCGGAGCUAAUACCGGAUAAUAUUUAGCUUCGCAUGAAGCAAUAGUGAAAGACGGUUCUGCUGUCACUUAUAGAUGGACCCGCGGUGUAUUAGCUAGUUGGUGAGGUAACGGCUCACCAAGGCAACGAUACAUAGCCGACCUGAGAGGGUGAUCGGCCACACUGGGACUCAGACACGGCCCAGACUCCUACGGGAGGCAGCAGUAGGGAAUCUUCCGCAAUGGACGAAAGUCUGACGGAGCAAUGCCGCGUGAGUGAAGAAGGUUUUCGGAUCGUAAAACUCUGUUGUAAGGGAAGAACAAGUACGUUAGUAACUGAACGUACCUUGACGGUACCUUACCAGAAAGCCACGGCUAACUACGUG
rnacentral:rRNA from 1 species